GCCCAGAGAACCUUGAGGCAUCUGGAGGGAAAUGGGAAGUCACAGAGGCAGCGGUGAGGACGGAGGUGGAGGAAACUCACUCCAGGCCAGCUCAUCCUCCAAGUCCAGACUUCCCUGAGUGCUCUUGGAGGUGAAUGCCACUGGUCCUCACCGUGGUGGACGCUACCUAACACCCGUGAGUCUGGGUUCUCACGGCGCCCCCUGGGAACCCCCAGGUCUAUGUCCUAGCAUGCUGCCUCUCCCACCUCAGUUUAUAGGUAACUGACGGCGGGACCGCUUAUGCAACCUAAUUUCUUAGUUGGCUCUGUCCCGUUUAAGAGGAGGACUUGGAUUUUUUUUCUUCCUAAGUAAGCAGGGAGAGGGUGCGUGCGUGCGUGCAUGCGUGUGUGUGUUUGUGUGUGUGUGUGUGUGUGUGCAGGUGGUUAAUCACAUAACAUGGAGAAAAUGAGUUAACGUAGGGAGACAUGGUUUGCCAUGGACACUGUUGUGAUUUUA